rnacentral:rRNA from 1 species
AUUGAACGCUGGAGGCAGGCCUAACACAUGCACGUCGAGCGAGCGGCGGACGGGUGAGUAAUGUCUGGGAAACUGCAUGAUGGAGGGGGAUAACUACUGGAAACGGUAGCUAAUACCGCAUACCAUCAGAUGUGCCAAGAUGGGAUUAGCUGGUAGGUGGGGUAACGGCACACCGAGGCGACGAUCCCUAGCUGGUCUGAGAGGAUGACCAGCCACACUAGAACUGAGACACGGUCCAGACUCCUACGGAAGGCAGCAGUGGCGAAUAUUGCGCAUUUGGCGCAAGCCUGAUGCAGCCAUGCCGCGUGUGUGAAGAAGGCCUUCGGGUUGUAAAGCACUUUCAGCAGGGAGGCGUUACCCGCAGAAGAAGCACCGGCUAACACCGUGCCAGCAGCCGCGGUAAUUG